rnacentral:rRNA from 1 species
GAUGAACGCUGGCGGCGUGCCUAACACAUGCAAGUCGAGCGAUCUUCUUCGGAAGAGAGCGGCGGACGGGUGAGUAACGCGUGGGUAACCUGCCCUGUACACACGGAUAACAUACCGAAAGGUAUGCUAAUACGAGAUAAUAUGCUUUUAUCGCAUGGUAGAAGUAUCAAAGCUCUGGCGGUACAGGAUGGACCCGCGUCUGAUUAGCUAGUUGGUGAGGUAACGGCUCACCAAGGCGACGAUCAGUAGCCGACCUGAGAGGGUGAUCGGCCACAUUGGAACUGAGACACGGUCCAAACUCCUACGGGAGGCAGCAGUGGGGAAUAUUGCACAAUGGGCGAAAGCCUGAUGCAGCAACGCCGCGUGAGCGAUGAAGGCCUUCGGGUCGUAAAGCUCUGUCCUCAAGGAAGAUAAUGACGGUACUUGAGGAGGAAGCCCCGGCUAACUACGUGCCAGCCGCCGCAGUAAGAC